rnacentral:sRNA from 1 species
GGACUGGGACCCAGACCGACUAGGGGACUGGGAGCGGGCGGCGCGGCCAUGGCGGGCUGCUGCGCCGCGCUGGCGGCCUUCCUGUUCGAGUACGACACGCCGCGCAUCGUGCUCAUCCGCAGCCGCAAAGUGGGGCUCAUGAACCGCGCCGUGCAACUGCUCAUCCUGGCCUACGUCAUCGGGUGGGUGUUUGUGUGGGAAAAGGGCUACCAGGAAACUGACUCCGUGGUCAGCUCCGUUACAACCAAGGUCAAGGGCGUGGCUGUGACCAACACUUCUAAACUUGGAUUCCGGAUCUGGGAUGUGGCGGAUUAUGUGAUACCAGCUCAGGAGGAAAACUCCCUCUUCGUCAUGACCAACGUGAUCCUCACCAUGAACCAGACCCAGGGCCUGUGCCCCGAGAUUCCAGAUGCGACCACUGUGUGUAAAUCAGAUGCCAGCUGUACUGCCGGCUCUGCCGGCACCCACAGCAACGACCUGCUUUUUUAAAGGCUGCAGAAAACUUCACUCUUUUGGUUAAGAACAACAUCUGGUAUCCCAAAUUUAAUUUCAGCAAGAGGAAUAUCCUUCCCAACAUCACCACUACUUACCUCAAGUCGUGCAUUUAUGAUGCUAAAACAGAUCCCUUCUGCCCCAUAUUCCGUCUUGGCAAAAUAGUGGAGAACGCAGGACACAGUUUCCAGGACAUGGCCGUGGAGGGAGGCAUCAUGGGCAUCCAGGUCAACUGGGACUGCAACCUGGACAGAGCCGCCUCCCUCUGCUUGCCCAGGUACUCCUUCCGCCGCCUCGAUACACGGGACGUUGAGCACAACGUAUCUCCUGGCUACAAUUUCAGGUUUGCCAAGUACUACAGAGACCUGGCUGGCAACGAGCAGCGCACGCUCAUCAAGGCCUAUGGCAUCCGCUUCGACAUCAUUGUGUUUGGGAAGGCAGGGAAAUUUGACAUCAUCCCCACUAUGAUCAACAUCGGCUCUGGCCUGGCGCUGCUAGGCAUGGUGAGUGGUUUAGGCCCUGCCUUCACCCUCACGGUGAGGUGAGCCCCUGGGCUGGGGUCCUGGCCCUGGGCCCUAGACCUCAGAUGUGUUUCUAGACUUGACCCUCCUACCUUCUUUCCCUUGGCCCCCAGCCCUCCUCCCACCUUCCCUUCUCCAAGACCACCCCCCUCAGGUCCCAGCCUUCUCCCAAGAGGUGGGAGUGCCUUUCCAUUCCGGUAAAGAUUCCAGGCUUCUCAGGAAGGGGCACGCAAAGAAUAAGAUGGGUUGAUGGGUUGCAAGCAUCCUGGCUCACUCUCACCCUAUGCUAAACUCAGGCGACCGUGCUGUGUGACAUCAUAGUCCUCUACUGCAUGAAGAAAAGACUCUACUAUCGGGAGAAGAAAUAUAAAUAUGUGGAAGAUUACGAGCAGGGUCUUGCUAGUGAGCUGGACCAGU